rnacentral:rRNA from 1 species
CCUACGGGGGGCUGCAGUGGGGAAUUUUCCGCAAUGGGCGAAAGCCUGACGGAGCAAUGCCGCGUGGAGGUGGAAGGCCUACGGGUCGUCAACUUCUUUUCUCGGAGAAGAAACAAUGACGGUAUCUGAGGAAUAAGCAUCGGCUAACUCUGUGCCAGCAGCCGCGGUAAGACAGAGGAUGCAAGCGUUAUCCGGAAUGAUUGGGCGUAAAGCGUCUGUAGGUGGCUUUUCAAGUCCGCCGUCAAAUCCCAGGGCUCAACCCUGGACAGGCGGUG